rnacentral:rRNA from 1 species
UUCGGCAGAUUUAGCUUGUUUCUAGUGGCGGACGGGUGAGUAACGCGUGGGUAACCUGCCUCACACUGGGGGAUAACAGUCAGAAGUGGCUGCUAAUACCGCAUAAGCGCACAGCAUCGCAUGAUGCAGUGUGAAAAACUCCGGUGGUGUGAGAUGGACCCGCGUUGGAUUAGCUAGUUGGCAGGGCGGCGGCCUACCAAGGCGACGAUCCAUAGCCGGCCUGAGAGGGUGAACGGCCACAUUGGGACUGAGACACGGCCCAGACUCCUACGGGAGGCAGCAGUGGGGAAUAUUGCACAAUGGGGGAAACCCUGAUGCAGCGACGCCGCGUGAAGGAAGAAGUAUCUCGGUAUGUAAACUUCUAUCAGCAGGGAAGAAAAUGACGGUACCUGACUAAGAAGCCCCGGCUAACUACGUGCCAGCAGCCGCGGUAAUACGUAGGGGGCAAGCGUUAUCCGGAUUUACUGGGUGUAAAGGGAGCGUAGACGGUGUUGCAAGUCUGAUGUGAAAGGCGGGGGCUCAACCCCUGGACUGCAUUGGAAACUGUGAUACUCGAGUGCCGGAGAGGUAAGCGGAAUUCCUAGUGUAGCGGUGAAAUGCGUAGAUAUUAGGAGGAACACCAGUGGCGAAG